rnacentral:rRNA from 1 species
UACGUAGGGUGCGAGCGUUGUCCGGAAUUAUUGGGCGUAAAGCGCACGUAGGCGGCUUUGCAAGUCCCAUGUGAAAGCCCACGGCUUAACCGUGGAAGUGCAUGGGAAACUGCAGAGCUUGAGUACUUAAGAGGAUCGCGGAAUUCCCGGUGUAGAGGUGAAAUUCGUAGAUAUCGGGAGGAACACCAGUGGCGAAGGCGGCGAUCUGGGAAGAUACUGACGCUGAGGUGCGAAAGCGUGGGGAGCAAACAGG